UCCCCGGUGGCUCAGAUGGUAAAGCGUCUGCCUGCAAUGCGGGAGACCCGGGUUCAAUCCCUGGGUUGGGAA
rnacentral:tRNA from 1 species